UGGGGAAUAUUGGACAAUGGGGGCAACCCUGAUCCAGCAAUGCCGCGUGAGUGAAGAAGGCCUUCGGGUUGUAAAGCUCUUUUAUCAGGGACGAUAAUGACGGUACCUGAGGAAUAAGCUCCGGCUAACUUCGUGCCAGCAGCCGCGGUAAUACGAAGGGAGCUAGCGUUGUUCGGAAUUACUGGGCGUAAAGGGCGCGUAGGCGGUAAGAUAAGUCAGAUGUGAAAGCCUUGGGCUUAACCUGAGAACUGCAUUUGAUACUGUCUAACUAGAGGACGAGAGAGGAAAGUGGAAUUACGAGUGUAGAGGUGAAAUUCGUAGAUAUUCGUAAGAACACCAGUGGCGAAGGCGACUUUCUGGCUCGUUUCUGACGCUAAGGCGCGAAAGCGUGGGGAGCAAACA
rnacentral:rRNA from 1 species